AUUUAGUGCAAGAGUGUGCAAAAACAAGGUUUAGAAAUGCUGGGUUACAGCUGUGUGAGCUGCCUGGGACUGUGGAGCACUGUGCUUGAGUUACUCCUUCUUGGAAUUCUCAAGCUGAGCUCUUCAGAAUCCUCAAGGGAUCAUACUCCUGCUGUUUCCUCAGAGAGCCUAAGAAAUCCACAGAGAAAUUCAGCUCCUGGAAAGGGUCUGAUCUGCAGAUCUACAUUGAGAACAAAGUAGCUGAAAUAUUAUUCUUUCCUGCCUGACUGAAAUCCAAAUCAACAGGUGCUGAACUUAAGAAUUAGAAAGUCAUGUGACCCAACAGAAUGUAAAU